rnacentral:rRNA from 1 species
UACGUAGGGUGCGAGCGUUAAUCGGAAUUACUGGGCGUAAAGCGUGCGUAGGCGGUUCGUUAAGUUCGUUGUGAAAGCCCCGGGCUCAACCUGGGAAUGGCAAUGGAAACUGGCGGGCUGGAGUAUGGCAGAGGGGGGGGUGGAAUUCCGCGUGUAGCAGUGAAAUGCGUAGAGAUGCGGAGGAACACCGAUGGCGAAGGCAGCCCCUGGGCCAAUACUGACGCUCGAGGCACGAAAGCGUGGGGAGCAAACAGG